UCUUCACAUAGGACUCAAAGGAAAUCAAUGCCCAAAGGAAACAGCAGUCCAGAGUCUGAUUCCAGCUCUGGUGAGGUUCUGCACACAAAUUGGCUGUCUGAUUCUUUUAAUGGGCACACUGACUUGAAGAGAGAGGACAAUUGGCUUCCAUGUACAAGACACACAAGUCCCAGAUUGAAUCACUCUAUCAGGUAAAGAGCUGUCUCACUUUAAAGUGAUAUAAGAUGGUGGAGUAUUACAGAAUCAUACUAAGUAAGCCACAGUCGGUCUAACACUGAGUUAAUAUAAACUCUAUGUAUAUUAAAAUAUACAAGCUUCUGAUUUCUGCCUCUCAGGUUGAUUCUGCUGUUUCAGUUUUCACCUGUUAGCUCACAUCCCUG